rnacentral:rRNA from 1 species
AUGAGCAAGAGGCGAGCCGUCCUGUUGUUACGGGAAAGAUUCCGGUCCUGUUUCCUGGCGCACCGCGGCGACCGGCCGACGAGCAUCCACCGCCUCCAAGCCGCCUCUCCUCACUGCAGCAGCGUAGCGACUUCUUCCUCCAGCUGCAGAGCCUCUCCGCAUCAAGAGUUCCUUGCCAUGGAGCAUGGACUGUGGUCGAGCGGAGCUAGCGACAAGAACAAGGCCAUGGUUGAGCAACUGCAGAGAUAUGGGGUAAUCAAGUCGAGCAAAGUUGCGGAGGUCAUGGAGACCAUCGAUAGGGGGCUGUUUGUGCCUCAGGGUGGUUCUCCCUAUUUUGAUAGCCCAAUGGCAAUUGGCUACAAUGCAACCAUAUCUGCGCCUCACAUGCAUGCUGCUUGCCUGGAGCUCCUGGAGGAUCAUCUGCAGCCUGGUAUGCGGGCUCUGGAUGUUGGAUCAGGCACUGGGUACCUAACAGCUUGCUUUGCACUUAUGGUUGGACCGGGAGGACGAGCAGUUGGUGUUGAACACAUACCAGAGUUGGUUGCUUCUUCUGCCGAAAACAUCAAGAAAAGUGCAGCAGCCCCACAGCUGAAUGAUGGAUCCCUCAGUAUUCAUAUUGCUGAUGGUAGGGAAGGCUGGCCCGAGCUUGCACCAUAUGACUGCAUCCAUGUCGGAGCUGCAGCACCGCAGAUUCCAGAGGCGUUAAUCGAGCAGCUGAAGCCUGGUGGCAGAAUGGUGAUCCCGGUUGGGACCAUCUUCCAGGAGCUGAAGGUGGUUGACAAGAAGCUAGACGGCGGUGUCAGCAUAAGAGACGAGACGUCUGUGCGCUAUGUGCCUCUCACCAGCAAGGAUGCCCAGUUGCACUCGAAUUGA